UAGUUGGAUAGGUCUGGAUAGUUGGAUAGGUCUGGAUAGUUGGAUAGGUCUGGAUAGGUGGAUAGGUCUGGAUAGUUGGAUAGGUCUGGAUAGUUGGAUAGGUCUGGAUAGUUGGAUAGGUCUGGAUAGUUGGAUAGGUCUGGAUAGGUCUGGAUAGUUGGAUAGGUCUGGAUAGUUGGAUAGGUCUGGAUAGGUGGAUAGGUCUGGAUAGUUGGAUAGGUCUGGAUAGUUGGAUAGGUCUGGAUAGUUGGAUAGGUCUGGAUAGUUGGAUAGGUCUGGAUAGUUGGAUAGGUCUGGAUAGUUGGAUAGGUCUGGAUAGUUUAAUAGGUCUGGAUAGGUCUGGAUAGUUG